UACGUAGGGGGCAAGCGUUGUCCGGAAUCAUUGGGCGUAAAGAGCGUGUAGGCGGCCUUACAGGUCAGCUGUGAAAACUCGAGGCUCAACCUCGAGACGUCGGUUGAAACCGUAUGGCUAGAGUCCGGAAGAGGAGAGUGGAAUUCCCGGUGUAGCGGUGAAAUGCGCAGAUAUCGGGAAGAACACCCGUGGCGAAGGCGGCUCUCUGGGACGGUACUGACGCUGAGACGCGAAAGCGUGGGGAGCAAACAGGG
rnacentral:rRNA from 1 species